GCCCCUGUAGCUCAGAUGGAUAGAGCACUGGCCUCCGAAGCCAGUGGCCCGCGUUCGACUCGCGGCAGGGGUAC
rnacentral:tRNA from 1 species